rnacentral:rRNA from 1 species
CCUACGGGAGGCUGCAGUGAGGAAUAUUGGUCAAUGGACGAGAGUCUGAACCAGCCAAGUAGCGUGAAGGAUGACUGCCCUAUGGGUUGUAAACUUCUUUUAUAUGGGUAUAAAAUGUUCCACGUGUGGGAUUUUGUAUGUACCAUAUGAAUAAGGCUCGGCUAACUCUGUGCCAGCAGCCGCGGUAAUACGGAGGAUCCGAGCGUUAUCCGGAUUUAUUGGGAUUAAAGGGAGCGUAGGUGGAUUGUUAAGUAAGUAGUGAAAGUGUGCGGCUCAACCGUAAAAUUGCAGUUGAAACUGGCAGUCUUGAGUACAGUAGAGGUGGGCGGAAUUCGUGGUGUAGCGGUGAAAUGCUUAGAUAUCACGAAGAACUCCGAUUGCGAAGGCAGUUCACUGGACUGCAACUGACACUGAGGCUCGAAAGUGUGGGUAUCAAACAGGAUUAGAUACCCGAGUAGUC